GUUGAACGCUGGCGGCGGGCCUAACACAUGCAAGUCGAACGGAAGCAGGAAAAGGCUUGCUCCUUUGCGUACGCGGGGCGGGCGGGUGUGUAAUGUCUGGGAAACUGCCUGAUGGCUGGGGAAAAUUACUGGAAACGUUACCAAAAACCGCUAAACGUCUCAAGAGCAAAGAGGGGGACUGUCGGGCCGUUUGGCAUUCGCUUUUCCCAGAUUGGAUUAGCUAGUAGGUGGGGUAACGGCUCACCAAGGCCACGAUCCCUAGCUGGUCUGAGAGGAUGAUCAGCCACACUGGAACUGAGACACGGUCCAGACUCCUACGGGAGGCAGCAGUGGGGAAUAUUGCACAAUGGGCGCAAGCCUGAUGCAGCCAUGCCGCGUGUAUGAAGAAGGCCUUCGGGUUGUAAAGCACUUUUAUUGGGGAAGAAGAGAGUAAAGUUAAUACCUUCGCAUAUUGACGGUACCCAAAGAAGAAGCACCGGCUAACUCCGUG
rnacentral:rRNA from 1 species